rnacentral:rRNA from 1 species
UACAGAGGUCUCAAGCGUUUGUUCGGAUUCAUUGGGCGUAAAGGGUGCGUAGGUGGCGUGGUAAGUCGGGUGUGAAAUUUCGGAGCUUAACUCCGAAACUGCAUUCGAUACUGCCGUGCUUGAGGACUGGAGAGGAGACUGGAAUUUACGGUGUAGCGGUGAAAUGCGUAGAUAUCGUAAGGAAGACCAGUGGCGAAGGCGGGUCUCUGGACAGUUCCUGACAGCUGAGGCACGA